AGACUUGCAAGUUCGAGAGGUAGAAGUUGGACGAUUGAGUAUACUUCCAGGUACAGGGAGACAGACAGGUGGUCCAGCUCAGUAGGACCUCUAGAUCUAGCAGUGGUCAGUACGCUCCAUUCGAUCCGGAGCUACAGUCAGUUUUGGUAUGCCCCUUUUGAGAUGUGUAUGCAUAUGGGUAUGACGGGGCCCUGUCCCGUCCUUUCUACAGCUUUUAUUCCAGUAGAGGUCUGUAGACAGUUGUAUGUAGUAGUCAGAUGAUGUAGCCUUGUCGGCUUUUAUUCUUUUGUGUACAGUAUAUGUAGCAGCCUAGCUAGCUUGCACUGUUCUUCCGCA